ACUCAAAUGAAUAGACGGGGGCCCGCACAAGCGGUGGAGCAUGUGGUUUAAUUCGAAGCAACGCGAAGAACCUUACCAAAACUUGACAUCCUGUUGCCCGGUCCGUAAUGGGACCCUUCUACUUCGGUAGACAACAGAGACAGGUGGUGCAUGGUUGUCGUCAGCUCGUGUCGUGAGAUGUUGGGUUAAGUCCCGCAACGAGCGCAACCCUUAUUUUCAGUAGCCAUCAGGUCGUGCUGGGGACUCUGGAGAGACUGCCGUGGAUAACACGGAGGAAGGUGGGGAUGACGUCAAAUCAUCAUGCCCCUUAUGUUUUGGGCUACACACGUGCUACAAUGGCUGUGACAGAGGGAAGCGACAGGGUGACCUUAAGCAAACCUCAAAAAAGCAGUCCUAGUUCGGAUUGUAGUCUGCAACUCGACUACAUGAAGCCGGAAUCGCUAGUAAUCGCAAAUCAGCAUGUUGCGGUGAAUACGUUCCCGGGCCUUGUACACACCGCCCGU
rnacentral:rRNA from 1 species